rnacentral:sRNA from 1 species
AAAAUAUAAAUAUUAUAACGGUUUCGAAACGCAAUCGAUAGUGUUAAAAACCCGUAAAAAACUUUGCGUUUUUUUAUAUAAUAUCUUUUAAAUAUUUUUUUAAAUAUUCGUUAUAUUUAUAAUAACCAAUUGUUUCGUUAUUUCCAUAAUAAAUUUAAUUCCAAGAUGAAAAAGGGGAUUUUCAAUCUCCCUUUUCCCUUCAUUUUUAAAAAUUAACGUUUCCCCUAAAUAAAAAAUUAAAAUUGUUUUUAAAAUUUUUUAAUUUCCAGUUGGAAAUCCAGUUUUUUUUAUAUAAAAAUUUUAUAACCUUCGAAUUGGCGUAUUUCUUUUUUAGCGUCGAAAUCGAUUACAAAUUUAAUAAUUUUUAACGAUUCGCCUAAAUAAUUGUCGGUUAUCGUGUAAAUAAUUUAAAUAAAAAGAAUAAAAUUAUUACGACCGGUAAUUAAAUACAGGUUAAAUACACGUUGAUUAAUAAAAUAUAGGGUUAUAAUAUAGCGUAUAAUAGUCCACGACAACAUUAUAAUAAUAAUAUUUAAAUUAGAAACUAAUUUUUAAAGAUUUAGGAAUAACCUGCUACUUUUGAAAUUUAGGAACCCCUAUUUAUAAGCGGCGUUCCUAUUGCGUUUACGUAACGCAAAUUUACAGGUUUAGCAAAACCCAGCCCCUAGGGCUAUACGCUAGCAUUUAGGCACUAAUAAACUUGCACGUAAUAAUAUUUUAAAAAAGAUUAUUAAAAUUAUAAUAUUAAAUAAUGGAUAUAAUAAAUAAAAUUCAAAUCAGGGCCAAUUUUUCGUCGGCGGCUGUUCCAGUUUUAAUAAUACGCAAAACGUUGGAAUAUUGGAAAUUAUAUAUAAAUUAUAAAAUUUUAAAUAAUAUUAUUAUAUAGGACCGUUAUUUUUUACCGUUAAUCAAAAAAAUUAUACGUUUUUAAUUGGGGCGAGGUAAUUUACUAAAAUAAACGUACGCGCCUUAUUUUAUAAAUUACAAAUUGCGGAAAAUAAUAAAUAUUUUACGGCGUUUAAAAUUCGUUUCGAACUAUUUAUAUAAUUGGUAUAUUUAUUUAAAUUUGCCGGGGCCUUCGCAAUUUUUUAAUAUUAUAUUAACAGGGUAUUAAAUAAUAUAUUAAACAAUUAUAUAUCAAUUUAUUUAAACGAUAUUUUUAUUUAUCUUUCGGGCUUUAAAUCUAAUUAUUUGUUAAAAAUAACCCGGAUACUAAAUAAAUUAACGGCGGCGGAAUUUGAUUUGAAUUUCGACAAAAAAGCGUUCGCGCUAAAAGAAUUCAAAUAUUUGGAAUUUAUUAUUAAAAACGGGGUAACAAAUCCAGAUUAACCCCGAAAAAAUAAAAAUAAUUCGAAAUUGGAAAACCCCGACAAAAUUUCAAAGAUUUUGCGGUUUAUUAGGGUUUGCAAAUUUGUACCGUAACUUUAUAAACGGUUAUUUAAUAUUAACGGCCCCGUUAUUAAUAUUUAUAAAAAAGUUCCGUUUCCAUAAAUAAUAAAAUUCGAAAAACGUUUAAAACGUUAAAAUAUAUAUUUUUCCAAACCCCAAUAUUUAUUUAAUAAAACGACGCGAAAAAUUUAAAAUCGGAAAUAAAAUAUUCUGGUGCGGCGUUGGGGGGGUUAUUCAUUAUAAAAAUACUAACGGAUUAUAACGUCCGGUCGCGUUUUAUUUGAUUAAAUUAACAAACGUUUAAAAAAAUUAUAUUAUUUAUAAUAAAAAGUUAUUCGCGGUAAUAAUAUAUUUAAAAAGAUAAAAAUUGAAUUCCGCAAUAUCCGUUAACUUUUUUUAAUUUUUACAAACCCGGGAAAAUUUCGGAAAAAUAAAUACAUUAGGCGGAAACGUUUUCGAGAUUUAAUUAUAAUUUACGUUUCCGUCCGGGCCGGUUGACGGGGGUUUUCAACGCGUUAUUCAAAUGAAAAUAAUUAAAUAUAAUAUAUUAUAAUUAACAACCGUAUUACGUCCGUAUUACAAUUAAAAUAUCGCGUAACCUAUUCUAAUAAUAUAAUAUAGUGGGUAAAAACAAUUAAGCGUAUAAAUUGGGUAAUCGGGGCUUUUAAUAACUGGGGGUAAAAUUAUAAUCGUUUUCAAAUAUAUAUUAAAAUUAAUUAAAAUUUAAUUGCUAUUAAACAAUCCUAAAAUCGAACUUAUUUAUAUAAUAAUAAGCGCGCCUUAUAUAAAUUAUAUUCCAAAUAUAAUUAUUUUAUAUAAGUAAUUAUAAUUAUUUUGGGGUAAUCAUAAUUGGGUCAAUUAUUUUUUGGUAAUAGUUAUAAUUAGUUUUAUCCGGGUAAUUAAGUUAAGGUUUUUGAUUUUAUUAUUAUGUAACUUUGUAUUCUUAUUUUUUAUUUUUGGUUUGUAAUUUUCGGUAAUUUUGGCUUGGAUUCCCGAUACCCUUCCCGUUUUUACCCAAUUAUGUUAAUAUUAACCCUGGUUGUAGCAGUCCGGUAAUAUUAUAAACGAAUUUAACGCCGGUAAAUAUUAUAAUUCCCGCAACCGCCGCGGUUCCCGUACCAAAAUCACAAAUUUCCCCCUAAAUAUAUUUAAUCCGAUUUUGGAGCAAAAUAUUAUUAAAAAAUAAUAUAUACCGAAUAUACUUAAACGUAAUAUAAAAAAACAAACGACGUUUUCCGCCGAAAACCAAAACAAAAACGCAAAUGGCGGAUUGCGCGGUAAACGCGUUCGGGGCGUUAUAAUAUAAAGAAUAAUUAUAAUUACCGUAUUGGAAAUUAUUAAUUACGGCGAUAUUAUAAUGGAUUUACAAAUUACUACUAAUUAAUUAUUUUAAUAAAAAUAAUACGUUCGUUAUAUUUACCAAAGAUUAUUAUUAAAACGGUAUAACGGAAUAUUUAAAGAAUUUUAUACGCAAUUAUAAUAUAUAUUAGCGAAUAAAAGUUUUACGCCGGACGCGCCAAAAAUUCUUCCAACGGUUAUUUAUACCGGAUAAAUUUUGGAAAUAAAUUUCGAUUAAUUUUAUAACCAAUUUACCCGGAAACAGAAAAACGAUUUUUUGGUAUUUAAUAAUUAUUACAAGUAAAUUUUCCAAAUAUAUAUAAUUGAAAAUAAUGUGUUAAAUAAAAACGGAAAUUCCGCGGUGCGGUUUUUAUUUUUUUAAUAACGAUUCCCGGGUUUUACCAAUUAAAUUAUUUCCAAUAAAAAUUCCAGUUAAAUAGGAUAUUUUUGGACGGAAUUAUAUAAAUAAACGGGGGUAAUAUAUUUAUUUUUUAUUUUUUUACCAGCCGGAAAUUAAUGGGGAUACGGAACGGGCCAAUUAAAAAAUCCAAUAAUAUUUUAAAAUUUAUAUAAUUUUUCAUUAAAAAAAUCGGCCCGAUUAUUUAAAAACCAUAUAAUUGGUUUUUAAUAACCGAAAUCCUUCCGUAACGGAGGUAAAUUUAAAGAAAUUAUUAUUAGGUUUUAAUAUUAAAACGGUUCCAAAUAUUACCUUUUUUUUUAAAACCCCAAUUUUAAUCCCGAAAACCCAAAUUACGCAAUUUUUAAAAUAUUUACGGGAAAAUUCCAAAUCGGUCCAAACCGUUAUUAUAUAUAAUGAAUAACGUUAAAAGCCAGGGCGAAUAAAUUACGGCGCGCAAACAAAAAAAUCCGGGUCGGAAAUAAAAUAUUUUUUAAUUUACGGAAUAUACGCACAAACCGUUUAUAUAAAAAAUUCGAUUAUAUCUACGGGAAAUACCGGACAAUAACGGUAUUAAUCUUUUUUACGGUUACGCUAAAUAUUUUAUAAAAUGUUUAUCCCAUUUUUUAUAUAUAAUUGGUAAAACAGACCGCUAAUAAUUUAUUGUUUUUUUAAAAUCGGACCGAUUUCCGGCCCAGUUCUAAAUUUUAACCGAUAAAAAACCCGAGAAACACGAAACGAUUUAAACUGUAAAAACAAUUUUGGCCGCAAAAAACCACAGGGGAGAAAAAAGCGGCCGCCAAAUAUUAAUAAAAUAAUAAAAUUAUAAUAAUUCCACCUAGGAACCCUUAGAAUUUAUCGCGGAUAUUAAUAUUUUAAACGCGUUCAAAGUCCGUUGGGGAUAUAUCCGUAUUAAUAACGGAUUUAUUCUUGAAUAUUGUCGAUUAACCGCAACCGUCGCGUCGAAACUUUUUAUAAUUAUAAAUACGGAAAAGAAAACCAGCGCCGCGAAUUCGCGACGGCGCAACGCGAUAUUAUUACGCGUUUUAUAUUUAUAUAUUUUAAUAAUGGAAUUAAUAAAUAAAAUAUUUACGCGUAAUUAAAUAUGAUAAAAAUAUUAAAAAUCCCGGAACCUGUUAAAAUUUACGGAAAAAAUAGUUUUAUUUGAAAGUAAUUAAUACAUAAA